rnacentral:lncRNA from 1 species
ACGUACAACUCUCUCUCUCUCUCUCUCUCUCUCUCUCUCUCUCUCUCAGACACACACACACACACACACACACACACACACACACACACACAAUAUACACAAAAACCCUCUGUCAAAACAUAGUGAAAAGCCUCUGGCUAUUAUCCGAAAGGCAGAAACGCAUGUGGAGGAAGUCGGGAGAACUGAACCCUGAUUGCAGUUGGUUCUCACUGACCGCUGUGUGAACUUGUUGAGCAAAUUAUACCUUCUCAGGCCCAUUUCUACAUGUCACGUGAUGGUGUGGGUGGAGAUGACACUGAAGAUCAACCUAACUUACACCAACCCUCAUGCAUUACGUUUUCAUACCAUCUUGGCUUAGGUUAUUACUGUCAAGCUGUACGAGAACGCAGGCCAGAUCUAGAUUGUGACUGAGGAGUAGCGUGGAGCCUCGCUGGAUGACUGAGUGAAGUAUCAGGUCAUCCAUCUUCUGCAUUGUUAUCCAACGAUACCAAGCCCACUCCUGUUCUUUGCCCUCGUCAGAUGUAAGUAUAGUGACAGACACCGCUUAGAAUAGGUUUGUUUUUUUUUUUUUUUCCAUUUGAGCAGGUCUGGUUUAUGGUUCUUGGCCAGGUCAUACAGAUUGCAUAGAUUUAUUUGUAAUGGUACUAA